AUGAAGGUGUUCAGAGGCAAGAUUUGGGCAGCACUAGGGUCACUCAUGGAUCAUGUAGGCGCAGCCUCCAACAAGGCUUCCACGGCGGCGGUGCCAGACCGAGCGCUCCUCACGGACAUCGAGGCGGCCAUCGCGCGGUGCACGGACGGUGGAGGGGGCGGGAGCGUCGGUGACGACCGCCACGUCCACGAGAUCCUCUUCCUCGUCUCCAACGCCCCGGGCGCGAUCACCUUCCUCUCCCGCCGCAUCACGGCGCGCCUAGAGGCGGCGCGGACCCCGGCCACCGCGCUCCGGUCUCUGCUCCUCGUCCACCGCCUCCUCCGCGCGGGCGACCGCUACUUCGAGCAGGACUUCCGAGGCCUCUGGGCCUCCCGCGACCUCCGCGUCGACGCGCCACGUUGCGGCUGCUCCUGUUCUCCCCUCGCUGCCUCAGGCGCCGGCGCCAACUAUGUCACGGCCAGCACGGUGACCGCCACCGGCGCGUGCUCUUUCCUCCACGGCUACACGGCCUACCUCGAGGAGCGCAUGCAGUGGGUGAUCAACCAGUCCGGCAACCUGGAGCCCACCCGCCCCCCACCACAAGAUCACGACGACAAGCCGCACCCGGCCUCCUCCUACGAUGCCGUCGCCGCCGAGGAGCUCCUCUUCAAGCUCACCAUGUGCCAGAGGCUGCUUGACGUCGCUGUCCAGCUCCUUCCGGACAACAACACAAGCGCCAGCGCCGCCGCGCGGUCAGCCUUCGGCAUUGUCCUCCGGGAGAGCUUCAAGGUCUACGACUCCUUCAAUGACGGCAUCGACGUGCUGCUAAGGUCAAGAAGCGCCGGUCGUCUCAGCAAGUCUCUCAGGGUUUCAGCUCAGGGGGUGCUGAGGAAGGCGUGCGCUCAGACGCCUGAGCUGAAAGAGUUCUACCACAAGUGCAAGAAGAGCAAUGUCGGCAAGAUCACAGAGUACCCCGUCGUCAGGGUCGUUACGCCGGCGCAGGCCUCGGCAAUUGAGCUCAUGCCGCCGGUCUGUGAAGAGGAUGGUCGGAAGGAGCUUGGCGGCGCCGGUGUGGUAGCGGAGGAGAACGAAGGCGACGCGCCCUUUGAGAGCAAGCUGGAGACGACUAUCAGUGCGGUGUGGGUCGAGUUCGACGACGAAGAUCACCAGGCUGGCCGUGAGUUUACCCGGGAUGAUCACAGCAGCUAG
rnacentral:rRNA from 1 species